AGGGGGCGGCGGGCGGCAGCGGGAGCCGGAGUUUCCCCGACAGCUGGAGGUUGCGGCGGCGGCGGCUCCUCCUCCCCGCUCGAGCCAGGGCCCCCCGCGCUCCUCCUUAUUUACAAACACACAAAGGGCCGCGCCGGGGUCGCGUCUGCAGCCGGCAUGGGAGACAAGAAGAGCCCGACCAGGCCGAAGCGGCAGCCGAAACCCUCCUCGGACGAGGGCUACUGGGACUGCAGCGUGUGCACCUUCCGGAACAGCGCCGAGGCCUUCAAGUGCAUGAUGUGCGAUGUGAGGAAGGGCACCUCCACCCGGAAACCUCGACCUGUCUCUCAGCUGGUUGCACAACAGGUUACUCAGCAAUUUGUGCCCCCUACACAAUCAAAGAAAGAGAAAAAAGACAAAGUAGAAAAGGAAAAAAGUGAAAAGGAAACAACUAGCAAAAAGAACAGUCAUAAGAAAACCAGGCCAAGAUUGAAAAAUGUAGAUCGGAGUAGUGCCCAGCAUUUGGAAGUUACCGUUGGAGAUCUGACAGUCAUUAUUACAGACUUUAAGGAGAAAACUAAGUCACCACCUGCUUCCAGUACUGCUUCUGCAGAUCAACACAGUCAGAGUGGUUCUAGCUCUGACAAUACAGAGAGGGGAAUGUCCAGGUCAUCUUCGCCCAGAGGAGAAGCCUCAUCAUUGAAUGGAGAAUCUCAUUAAAGUUUAUUUUCUCCAGUUUCUUUAGUCUCUUCUCUUCAAAACAUGCAAAUACACAACUUCUGCCAACAGCUACCACAUUUUCAUGACAGAUUAUCCAUGCACAAUUGAUAUGUUUACUGGAACAUAAUUUAUGCAGUUUUACAAAAGUGAAGUGAAGCAGUAGAAAUAAUAAUUUAAAUGCAAUCUACAAAUGCCUACGAAGCAUUUUCAGACUAACUUUUUAAUCUUCACAUUUAAAGGUGCCAUGAAAAUGUGGUUUGAAUGUUCAUUAUUCAGUGUUAUUGGUGGAGCUACAUGGAAAAGAGUAUACUGAGUUAAUGGAUUACAAGAGAGCUGAAUCUGUUUAAAGUAAGCAAUAGUGAACCUCAAUGCAAGAUCCUUUAUGAAAUGUUUCAAUUUUAAAACAAAAUGAAUAUUAACGUAUUUCAUUGCUCUUUGCAAAGAUCAAAUAGUGAUCUAAUACCUAUAGUUCACUAAAUCAGAAUCUUAUUAUUAAAUUUAGUAUAAGUUGACUAUUCAGCAACAAGUGGUCUUUUCUGUCUAGAGAAGUAGGCAGUCAUUGAUUUAUUUAGUUAGUUAGUUUGUAUGGAAUUGACUACUAAGAGGUAUAAUCUAAUAUCAAAUGAAAGCAAUCCUUAGCAUCUGCAAGAGCAGUUUUAAAGUGUGGUUAUUAUCAGAAAAGUGAUUGUAAAAAGAAUGUCACUGGAUUGCUCAUUGUUAUUCAAAAAUUACUAUAUCAAAUAUACUCCAUUUAUGUAAAAUUGCCAGCACUGCAUACUCCACCUAGAGUUUGUAAUUAAGUUGUAGUAUUGGGGUGAUGUAAGAAGUGUAAAGAACAACGAUUACGUAACCAAAAAUUAGCUUGCCAUUCCUGUGGAUGCAUGAAACACAUCAGAAUGUUUGCUCUUCUAUAGCAAAAAUGGUGUGACAGUGCUGAUGGCAGAGUUAAAAAAAAGAAUCAGCAAAGUAAGGAGCUCUGACUCUCUCUACUCAUAACAUUAUAACUAUACUUUAAACCAGCCUCACUUCGAUAAUCUCUGAAGAAGUUUUCAGUUGGUUUAAACCAAGUCCUUUCUUCAACUCUGUAAAUUCAUAAGGAAGGUCUACUCCAUCUUUUCUCAGUUUGUAGAAUGUAAAAACCUAACAUUGUAACUCAUUGUUAGCUAUUUUUCUUUUACUGUUCUCUGCAUAAUAACUGAUCAUCAUCUGUUACAUUCUAAGUCUGCACCAACCUUCAUCAGCCAAGCAUUUUGCAUGGUGACAUGAGAUGAUCCAACAAAGAUGAAUGUGAUGAUGCUCCAUGUAAAUAAGUUCCUUUGUGCAUUGAUUGUCCACUGUUUCAAAAACAAGAAGAAUGAGAUGCAGUUAAUUCACUGUAAAGGUGUAAAAUAAUUCAAUGUUUUGUCAUCCUGUUUUCUGCCACUAAUUAUAGCUGGCAUAAGGAAGUACUGAAAUAUACAGUAGUAAGGUGUGAUUUAUUUUUUUACUUCUGAAUUUCAAAGUCUGCAUAAUAGAAGCAAUCAAAAUCUGUACCAAGUAAUACCAUGUCAAAAUCUGCAGUGUAAAAUAUUGACUCUUCAGAUUAGCGAUAGGAAAAAUUUUGGUUAUCUUCAAAGGCUUAAUUUUAAGUUUUGAUGCAGUGACUAGUCUUGAAACAAUCAAGAUUAUGAUCUAAAAUGUUACCCUACUGUAUGUGUUUCUCUAGCUAUUUGAUGUUGUAUGGCAUAGAUGAUAUAGUUCGAGCAAUUUAAGAUUAUGCAGUAUUCUGCACUUUA